rnacentral:rRNA from 1 species
AUUGAACGCUGGCGGAAUGCUUUACACAUGCAAGUCGAACGGCAGCACGGACUUCGGUCUGGUGGCGAGUGGCGAACGGGUGAGUAAUGUAUCGGAACGUGCCCAGUCGUGGGGGAUAACGUAGUGAAAAUUACGCUAAUACCGCAUACGAUCUAUGGAUGAAAGCGGGGGAUCGCAAGACCUCGCGCGAUUGGAGCGGCCGAUAUCAGAUUAGGUAGUUGGUGGGGUAAAGGCCCACCAAGCCAACGAUCUGUAGCUGGUGUGAGAGGACGACCAGCCACCCUGGAACUGAGACACAGUCCAGACUCCGACGGGAGGCACAAGUGGGGAAUUUUGGACAAUGGGCGAAAGCCUGCUCCAGCCAUUCCGCGUGCAGGAAGAAGGCCCUCGGGUUGUAAACUGCUUUUGUACAGAACGAAAAGGUUUCUACUAAUACUAGGAGCUCAUGACGGUACUGUAAGAAUAAGCACCGGCUAACUACGUGCCAGCAGCCGCAGUAA